rnacentral:rRNA from 1 species
CGCACGGGUGAGUAAUGCAUAGGUAACGUGCCCCUUAGUCUGGGAUAGCCACUGGAAACGGUGAAUAAUACCGGAUACUCCUUCUAGCUUAAUGUUAGUCGGGAAAGUUUUUUCGCUAAGGGAUCGGCCUAUGUUGUAUCAGGUAGUUGGUGAGGUAAUGGCUCACCAAGCCUAUGACACAUAGCGGGUCUGAGAGGAUGAUCCGCCACACUGGUACUGAGACACGGACCAG